UGGGGAAUUUUGGACAAUGGGCGAAAGCCUGAUCCAGCAAUGCCGCGUGUGUGAAGAAGGCCUUCGGGUUGUAAAGCACUUUUGUCCGGAAAGAAAUCCUUGGCUCUAAUACAGUCGGGGGAUGACGGUACCGGAAGAAUAAGCACCGGCUAACUACGCGCCAGCAGCCGCGGUAAUACGUAGGGUGCAAGCGUUAAUCGGAAUUACUGGGCGUAAAGCGUGCGCAGGCGGUUUGCUAAGACCGAUGUGAAAUCCCCGGGCUCAACCUGGGAACUGCAUUGGUGACUGGCAGGCUAGAGUAUGGCAGAGGGGGGUAGAAUUCCACGUGUAGCAGUGAAAUGCGUAGAGAUGUGGAGGAAUACCGAUGGCGAAGGCAGCCCCCUGGGCCAAUACUGACGCUCAUGCACGAAAGCGUGGGGAGCAAACAGGAUUAGAUACCCUGGUAGUCCACGCCCUAAACGAUGUCAACUAGUUGUUGGGGGAUUCAUUUCCUUAGUAACGUAGCUAACGCGUGAAGUUGACCGCCUGGGGAGUACGGUCGCAAGAUUAAAACUCAAAGGAAUUGACGGGGUCAUAGCUGUUUCCU
rnacentral:rRNA from 1 species